UGUCGUCUGAGAACCCUUCCCCUCUUCUCUCUGUUUCACUCCCGUGAGCCAGCUCAAACCCUCCAAUUAAAUCACAUCAAAACACUAUUCACCCUUUUUUUAAUAUUAUUAAUUUUCCAUUUUGCCCUUGCCACUUCGAUAUAUCUGCAAUUAUGCCAUUAUCUUUUGAUUCCUUCCCAUUUUGCCCCUAACACUUCAACGCAUCUACUAUUAUGCCAUUAACUUUUGAUUCCUUCCAAUUUUACCCCUUAUAUCAAUUUUAAAGGACUAUUCUAUCCUUUUUUUAUAU
rnacentral:lncRNA from 1 species